rnacentral:rRNA from 1 species
GUACACGCUGUGACUAGCAUAUCAAUAAGCGGAGGAAAAGAAACUAACAAGGAUUCCCCUAGUAACGGCGAGUGAAGCGGGAAGAGCUCAAAUUUGAAAUCUUAAAGGGUUUCCCUUUACGAAUUGUAGUUUAAAGAAGUGUUUUCUGUUGAGGUUUUGGUAAAAGUUCUUUGGAAUAGGACAUCAUAGAGGGUGAGAAUCCCGUAUUUGACCUUUACUUUCAACUUUGUGAUACACUUUCAAAGAGUCGGAUUGUUUGGGAAUGCAGUCCAAAAUGGGUGGUAAAUUUCAUCUAAAGCUAAAUAUUGGCGAGAGACCGAUAGCGAACAAGUACCGUGAGGGAAAGAUGAAAAGAACUUUGAAAAGAGAGUUAAACAGUACGUGAAAUUGUCAAAAGGGAAGCGUUUGACACCAGUGUUGUUUUUCUGAAAAUCAAUUAAAGAACUGUUUAUGCUAAGCUGUUUAGACUUUAUCAGCUAAUCUGUUUAGUUUUGAGCUUUUCUUUAAUGCACUUUUCAGUUAACAAGUCAACAUCAAUUUCUUUUGCUGUAAAAAAGCUUGAGGAAGGUGGCUUGAGAUUCGUCUUAAGUGUUUAUAGCCUCUUGCCUAUGCAGUCGGAGAGAUUGAGGUCUGCAGCGUAGAUCCUUCGGGGCUAAAUGCAUUUGUGCUAAGUUAUAGUAUUUUAUAGACAACUUGUUGACUAUGAUUUGUCUUGUAGCUUACUCGCUUAUGUUAUUUUACCUACGCUUAGGAUGUUGAGUCGUAGAGCACGCAG